GGUGGUGCAUGGCCGUUCUUAGUUGGUGGAGUGAUUUGUCUGGUUAAUUCCGACAACGAACGAGACCUUAACCUGCUAACUAGUCUGCUCCAUUUUAUGGAGACUGACUUCUUAGAGGGACUAUGAAUGUCAAGUGCAUGGAAGUUUGAGGCAAUAACAGGUCUGUGAUGCCCUUAUAUGUCCUGGACUGCACGCGUGCUACACUGAUGCAUACAACAAGUGCCUAGCUAGACAUAGUAUGGCAAUCUGGAAUAUGCAUCGUGAUGGGGAUAGAUCUUUGCAAUU
rnacentral:rRNA from 1 species